GUUUGCAGCUUGCUUAUUUGGUUAACAAACAUGGCAAUCAAUAAAAACAGUGCUGUUACUAGCAAGCUAUAUCAUGUCUGAAUAUCAAUAUCCACACCUCCAGGUACAAUGGCAAUACAAGAGUGCCUGUGGUACCUUCUGAAAGCCAAGGUACUAUUGAAGCAAAAGGAGACAGCAGCUUAUGAACUAGUAGAGGCUUUUUACAUUGUUAGAUGGCAUGUGUGUUGCAUAUGGCCUUCAUUAUUGCUCCAUGACGUCUAAAAUAAUUACCUUCUCAUUGGUCUUUAGCUAGUUAUGUUGGCACAUGUAGUUUGGUCAAAAGUACAUCCUUUUGCAGUUGUCCUUUAGUUCUUGUCACAUGCAACUUUGUGUGUAUGUAUAUAAUAUGUACACAUUUGUAGUUACAAUAAAAUUUCUGUUAACAAUUGGU